AUGAACGCUGGCGGCGUGCCUAAUACAUGCAAGUCGCGCGAACGGACGAGAAGCUUGCUUCUCUGAUGUUAGCGGCGGCCGGGUGAGUAACACGUGGAUAACCUACCUAUAAGACUGGGAUAACUUCGGGAAACCGGAGCUAAUACCGGAUAAUAUUUUGAACCGCAUGGUUCAAAAGUGAAAGACGGUCUUGCUGUCACUUAUAGAUGGAUCCGCGCUGCAUUAGCUAGUUGGUAAGGUAACGGCUUACCAAGGCAACGAUGCAUAGCCGACCUGAGAGGGUGAUCGGCCACACUGGAACUGAGACACGGUCCAGACUCCUACGGGAGGCAGCAGUAGGGAAUCUUCCGCAAAGGGCGAAAGCCUGACGGAGCAACGCCGCGUGAGUGAUGAAGGUCUUCGGAUCGUAAAACUCUGUUAUUAGGGAAGAACAUAUGUGUAAGUAACUGUGCACAUCUUGACGGUACCUAAUCAGAAAGCCACGGCUAACUACGUG
rnacentral:rRNA from 1 species